GGAUGGUUGGCAGAGAGGCUGAUCGCGCCCGGCUGUAGACCGGGUCCCUUCGGGGCGCGGGGGUUCAAAUCCCUCACCAUCCACCG
rnacentral:tRNA from 1 species